rnacentral:rRNA from 1 species
GGUUCGAUUCCGGAGAGGGUGCCUGAGAAGUGGCAACCAUGACUACGGUCAGCAGCAGGCGCGCAAAUUGCCCAAUGCAAACCCUGCGAGGCAGCGACGAAAAAUAGCACUCCUGCGGCCAAUACUGGUCGCAGGACGCAAUGGAUUGUAUCUAAUACACACUGCUGAAUGUCUAUUGGAGGGCAAGUCUGGUGCCAGCAGCCGCGGUAAUUCCAGCUCCAAGAGCGUAUAUAAACGUUGUUGCGGUUAAAAAGCCCGUAGUUGGAUUUGAGGGCGCCUUGCCCUUUGCGCACGGGAAUGCGCCAGGUGGCUGGUUCAGUCUGGUGCCUGGCGCGCCCUGCGCAACCACGGGCCGACUUGGAUUCGUCCGAGUGGGCGCAUGGGGAACGGGGCGAGGGCUCUGCGACAUGCGGGAUCGUCCACUGGCCGUGUGGGCGCCUUCACUGGUCGCCUCAUGGCAUCCACGGAGCUAACGGACCACGUACACUCCGCAAGGUGCGCCCGCAGCCGUCACUGUGAAUAAACCAGAGUGUUCAAGGCAACCAUCGCGCAUGGUUGAAUGUUCAAGCAUGGAAUGACAAGGGAUCGACCUUCGGGCCUCUUUUUGUUGGUUUUUAAGCCUUUCAAGGGGAAUCUAGCCGCCGGACUCCUGCAGCUGCUUCGGCACGCGGCAGGCAGAAGGCGGCGCACGGGAUCAAUAGGAGCACAGGGGGCCAUGAGUACUGGCAGGCUAGUGGUGAAAUACAGUGACCCUGCCAAGACUGACAUCGGCGAAAGCACUUGGCUAUUGUGCUUUCAUUAAUCAAGGACGAGAGAUCGGGGAUUGAAGAGGAUUAGACACCCUCGUAAUCCGUUCUGUAAAUUCUGCAGACUUGGGAUCGGUCAGCGCUCUGACAAACAUUAGACCUGAUCGGCACCUUCCUCCAGGAUCGAGAAAUCAAAGUGUAUGUGUUCCGGGGGGAGUACAUUCGCAAGGCUGAAACUUAAAGGAAUUGACGGAGAACCACCACCAGUCGUGGAGUGUGUGGCUUAAUUCGACACAACACGGGAAAUUUUACCAGGCCAGGACGUGGUAAGGAUUGCCAGAUUGAUAGCUCUUGCAUGAUUCCGCGAAGGGUAGUGCAUGGCCGCUUCUGGUUGGUGAAGUGAUUUGUCUGCUUAAUUGCGAUAACGAACGAGAUCUCUGCCAAUUACUAGACGCCUGGGUCGCCUUUCGGUCUUUCUGCCGGGCGCGUGGUGGCUUCGGUUGCUGCGCGUAGACAGCGUUUCCCGCUCCGGUGCCGAGACGCCAGGGGUGUUUACUUAUUGGGAUUAUGCAAAUAUAAGUGCAUUGAAACAAGAGCCCAAAGCAGGUCUGUGAUGCUCCUAUAUGUUCUGGGCUGCACGCGCACUACACUGAUUC